rnacentral:rRNA from 1 species
UACAGAGGUGGCAAGCGUUGUUCGGAAUUACUGGGCGUAAAGGGCGCGUAGGUGGCCUUUUGAGUCAGACGUGAAAUCCCCCGGCUUAACCUGGGAACUGCGUCUGAUACUGGAAGGCUUGAGUUCGGGAGAGGGAUGUGGAAUUCCAGGUGUAGCGGUGAAAUGCGUAGAUAUCUGGAGGAACACCGGUGGCGAAGGCGGCAUCCUGGACCGAAACUGACACUGAGGCGCGAAAGCCAGGGGAGCAAACAGG